CCUACGGGUGGCAGCAGUGAGGAAUAUUGGUCAAUGGACGCAAGUCUGAACCAGCCAUGCCGCGUGCAGGAAGACGGCUCUAUGAGUUGUAAACUUCUUUUGUACGAGGGUAAACGCAGAUACGCGUAUCUGUCUGAAAGUACCGUACGAAUAAGGAUCGGCUAACUCCGUGCCAGCAGCCGCGGUAAUACGGAGGAUUCAAGCGUUAUCCGGAUUUAUUGGGUUUAAAGGGUGCGUAGACGGUUGGAUAAGUUAGUGGUGAAAGCUCGAGGCUCAACUUUGGAAUUGCAAUUGAUACUGGUAGGCUAGAGAGUAGUUGAGGUAGGCGGAAUGUAUGGUGUAGCGGUGAAAUGCUUAGAUAUCACACAGAACACCGAUUGCGAAGGCAGCUUACCAAGCUACCUCUGACGUUGAGGCACGAAAGCGUGGGGAGCAAACAGGAUUAGAUACCCGGGUAGUC
rnacentral:rRNA from 1 species